rnacentral:rRNA from 1 species
UACAGAGGGUGCAAGCGUUAAUCGGAAUUACUGGGCGUAAAGCGUGCGUAGACGGUUAUUUAAGUCAGGUGUGAAAGCCCCGGGCUUAACCUGGGAAUGGCAUUUGAGACUGCAUAGCUAGGGUGCGGAAGAGGGAAGCGGAAUUUCCGGUGUAGCGGUGAAAUGCGUAGAUAUCGGAAGGAACACCAGUGGCGAAAGCGUCUUCCUGGUCCAGCACCGACGUUCGGGCACGAAAGCGUGGGGAGCAAACAGG